CCCAGUACUAAAGUACUGGGCUACUAUCAAUUGUCCCUUCGGGACA
rfam:Candidatus Schekmanbacteria bacterium RBG_13_48_7 RBG_13_scaffold_9558, whole genome shotgun sequence.